GUGCCAGCAGCCGCGGUAAGACAGAGGCCUCAAGCGUUAGGCGGAAUCACUGGGCUUAAAGCGUGUGUAGGCGGAUCGUUAAGUGCCUUGUGAAAUCCCACGGCUUAACUGUGGAACGGCUGGGCAUACUGGCGGUCUUGAGCCAUCUAGGGGCGACUGGAACAAACGGUGGAGCGGUGAAAUGCGUAGAUAUCGUUUGGAACGCCAAUGGUGAAAACAGGUCGCUGGGGAUGAGCUGACGCUGAGACACGAAAGCCAGGGGAGCAAACGGGAUUAGAUACCCCGGUAGUCC
rnacentral:rRNA from 1 species